AUUGAACGCUGGCGGCAUGCCUUACACAUGCAAGUCGAACGGUAACGGGCCUUCGGGUGCCGACGAGUGGCGAACGGGUGAGUAAUGCAUCGGAACGUACCUUUCAGUGGGGGAUAACGUAGCGAAAGUUACGCUAAUACCGCAUAUUCUGUGAGCAGGAAAGCAGGGGAUCGCAAGCACUUGCGCUGAUUGAGCGGCCGAUGUAAGAUUAGCUAGUUGGUGAGGUAAAGGCUCACCAAGGCGACGAUCUGUAGCGGGUCUGAGAGGAUGAUCCGCCACACUGGAACUGAGACACGGUCCAGACUCCUACGGGAGGCAGCAGUGGGGAAUUUUGGACAAUGGGGGCAACCCUGAUCCAGCCAUGCCGCGUGAGUGAAGAAGGCCUUCGGGUUGUAAAGCUCUUUCGGUCGGGAAGAAAUCGCAUGGGUUAAUACCCUGUGCGGAUGACGGUACCGGCAUAAGAAGCACCGGCUAACUACGUGCCAGCCGCCGCAGUAAUAC
rnacentral:rRNA from 1 species